rnacentral:lncRNA from 1 species
ACUCCGAUGUCCAAGAGCUCUCCCCACAGGAAGAGGACAUUGGAAAACCACUGUCCCCACAGGAAGAGGACAUUUUAAAACCACUGUCCCCACAGGAAGAGGACAUUUUAAAACCACUGUCCCCAGCAGAAGAAAACCCUGUCCCGCGCGACCCCACUGACUCGUCACAGCUGGAGCACCACGGGAUUGGGAAGGAGCCGGACGUGGAGUCUCAGCUGGAGCACCCACAGAGGCGGCCCAGGAGUGGCGUGUUUGGAGGGAUGAAAAGAAUAAGGAACUGGUUCCGCGAGCCAAGAGACGAGGCAGCGGAACGGGAACACCAGAGGAGGCAGAUGUACGUGGAGAAGUGGCUGGAAGACCAUUUGUCCUGCAAUUACAACAUCAACGAAGAGAGGAGGCAGAAGGGUGAAGAGCUGGCGCGACAGAAAGCCGAGCAAAUGGAACGGGAGUACAGGGAGAAGUACGAGGGCAGAGACGACUGGAUUGAAGAGUUUUUGCUCCGCAGUCCUUACUGCCCAGUCCCCAGAAAGCCAGAGCAGGAGAGGGACAGGCCCCAAGAGCCGGACCAGGGGGAGGAAUCCAAGAGCCAAGGACUCGCCCAAGAGAAAGCAGACCAAGAGGAACAGCCGUGCCAAGGGCCAGAGGAGAACGACCAGGCCAAGGAGCUUUCUCAAGGGCAAGACAACGGAGUCCAAGGGCUGUCCCAAGGGCACGAUGACAAACCCUUGGGCCCGGGCAGCGACGACGACCCCCUGGAGGGGCCCAGCUCUCUCUACAUCCCGAGCAAGUCCCAGCGGCCUCUCUCUUCCAAGCAACCAAAGGCAGACACUUCUCCAUCCACCAGUGAGGAGCAGACCCCAGCAGCAUCCCGCAGCUCCUCCCAGGGCAGCCAAGUUCUGCAGGACACAGUCCAGCCCCUCAUCCACGACAUCCUGAGCAAGGCUGUGCUGGAGGUGGACACUUUAUCCAUCACUGAGUCCUACACCCCAGCAGGGUCCCGGAACCCCUCCCAGGGCAGCCAAGCUCUGUGGGACACAGCUCAGAAAUUAAUCCAGCACUUCCUGAGCAAGGCUGCGCUGGAGGUGCAGGGGUGCCCCCAGCAGCCAGAGGAGCAGCACAAGCUGGGACAAAGCCCGGCUGCAGACGUGGCACCAGCAGUUGCAGCCCAGGCCGUGUCCCCAGGGGCAGAGGGCAGUGAAGCCCCCAGGGCUGUCCCCGGGAAACGUCCCUCCCUGUUGAGGCGCACGCUCCGCGCUGUGCACAGGCUGUUCCGCUGGCCCCGCAGGCCGGCACAGCCGCACCAUUAGGCCCCGCUCCAGCGCCAGGCCCGGCCCAGACAGC